rnacentral:rRNA from 1 species
AGUGAACGCUGGCGGUAGGCCUAACACAUGCAAGUCGAACGGCAGCACAGUAAGAGCUUGCUCUUACGGGUGGCGAGUGGCGGAUGGGUGAGGAAUACAUCGGAAUUUACUUUUUCGUGGGGGAUAACGUAGGGAAACUUACGCUAAUACCGCAUACGACCUACGGGUGAAAGCAGGGGAUCUUCGGACCUUGCGCGAUUGCAUGCGCCGGUGUCGGGUUAGCUAGUUGGGGGGGUAUAGGCCCACCAAGGCGACGAUCCGUAGCUGGUCUGAGAGGAGGAGCAGCCACACUGGAACUGAGAGACGGAUCAGACUCGUAAGGGAGGCAACAGUGGGGAAUGUUGGACAAGGGGCGCAAGCCGGAUCCAGCGAGACCGCGUGGGGGAAGAAGGCCUUCGGGUGGUAAAGCGCUUUUGUUGGGAAAGAAAAUCAGCAGGUUAAUGCCGCGCUGUUCUGACGGUACCCAAAGAGUAAGCACCGGCUAACUUCGU